GACGAACGCUGGCGGCGUGCUUAACACAUGCAAGUCGAACGGAAAGGCCCUGCUUGCAGGGUACUCGAGUGGCGAACGGGUGAGUAACACGUGGGUGAUCUGCCCUGCACUUCGGGAUAAGCCUGGGAAACUGGGUCUAAUACCGGAUAGGAGCCAUUUUUAGUGUGAUGGUUGGAAAGUUUUUUCGGUGUAGGAUGAGCUCGCGGCCUAUCAGCUUGUUGGUGGGGUAAUGGCCUACCAAGGCGGCGACGGGUAGCCGGCCUGAGAGGGUGGACGGCCACAUUGGGGCUGAGAGACGGCCCAGACUCCUACGGGAGGCAGCAGUGGGGAAUAUUGCACAAUGGGCGCAAGCCUGAUGCAGCGACGCCGCGGGGGGGAUGACGGCCUUCGGGUUGGAAACUCCUUUCGCUAGGGACGAAGCUUUUUGUGACGGUACCUAGAUAAGAAGCACCGGCUAACUACGUG
rnacentral:rRNA from 1 species